UAGGUAGGACGUGUCGGC
rnacentral:snRNA from 1 species